GAUGAAGAACGUAGUGAAAUGCGAUACUUGGUGUGAAUUGCAGAAUCCCGUGAACCAUCGAGUCUUUGAACGCAAGUUGCGCCCGAAGCCAUUAGGCCGAGGGCACGCCUGCCUGGGCGUCACACGUCGUUGCCCCCCCAUCUCCUCCUUCGGGAUUGCGGGGGGCGGAUGAUGGCCUCCCGUGCGCCUCGUCGCGCGGUUGGCAUAAAUGCCAAGUCCUCGGCGACACACGCCACGACAAUCGGUGGUUGCGAAACCUCGGUUGCCCGUCGUGUGCGGUCGUCGCGCAUCGAGGGCUCGAAAAAAUUGCCGGGCUCCGGCUCGGCUUUCAACGCGACCCCAGGUCAGGCGGGGUUACCCGCUGAAUUUAAGCAUAUCAAUAAGCGGAGGA
rnacentral:misc_RNA from 1 species